GCUUGUGACUAAUCCCUGGAGAGCAGAGCAAUGUCCAGCUCCAAUACAGAGUACAAGGCAAGAGGAAAUGUUUGUGUGAGCCAGACACAGCGAUCUGGUGUUUGUGGAGCUGUGGGACCAGAGAGCCCUGCUGGCUGGAGGCUGCUGAGGAGGAAAGCUUUUGAAACUGUGACCACAACAGUCUGUUUGUGAACUGUGGCAAGAGAGAGAGACUGAAAAACAAAAUUUCCCCGGGCAAUGUUCUGCAGGUAACAGCCGCAGAAUUGACCAGGAAAGCUUUUAAAGUGCGACCAAAUUCAGCACGGGCGCUGCACCCAGCGGAGGAAACUCCAGCCAUCUGG